CUGUAAGCCUGCGAAGGUGGCCUGUGAGGGUUGCUGGAGGUAUCAGAAGUGCGAAUGCUGACAUAAGUAACGAUAAAGCGGGUGAAAAGCCCGCUCGCCGGAAGACCAAGGGUUCCUGUCCAACGUUAAUCGGGGCAGGGUGAGUCGACCCCUAAGGCGAGGCCGAAAGGCGUAGUCGAUGGGAAACGGGUUAAUAUUCCCGUACUUGGUGUUACUGCGAAGGGGGGACGGAGAAGGCUAUGUUGGCCGGGCGACGGUUGUCCCGGUUUAAGCGUGUAGGUGUGUGUUCCAGGUAAAUCCGGUUCACUUUAACACUGAGGCGUGACGACGAGGCACUACGGUGCUGAAGCAACAAAUGCCCUGCUUCCAGGAAAAGCCUCUAAGCAUCAGGUAACAUCAAAUCGUACCCCAAACCGACACAGGUGGUCAGGUAGAGAAUACCAAGGCGCUUGAGAGAACUCGGGUGAAGGAACUAGGCAAAAUGGUGCCGUAACUUCGGGAGAAGGCACGCUGACACGUAGGUGAAGUGAUUUACUCAUGGAGCUGAAGUCAGUCGAAGAUACCAGCUGGCUGCAACUGUUUAUUAAAAACACAGCACUGUGCAAACACGAAAGUGGACGUAUACGGUGUGACGCCUGCCCGGUGCCGGAAGGUUAAUUGAUGGGGUCAGCGCAAGCGAAGCUCCUGAUCGAAGCCCCGGUAAACGGCGGCCGUAACUAUAACGGUCCUAAGGUAGCGAAAUUCCUUGUCGGGUAAGUUCCGACCUGCACGAAUGGCGUAAUGAUGGCCAGGCUGUCUCCACCCGAGACUCAGUGAAAUUGAACUCGCUGUGAAGAUGCAGUGUACCCGCGGCAAGACGGAAAGACCCCGUGAACCUUUACUAUAGCUUGACACUGAACAUUGAGCCUUGAUGUGUAGGAUAGGUGGGAGGCUUUGAAGUGUGGACGCCAGUCUGCAUGGAGCCGACCUUGAAAUACCACCCUUUAAUGUUUGAUGUUCUAACGUGGACCCGUUACCCGGGUUGCGGACAGUGUCUGGUGGGUAGUUUGACUGGGGCGGUCUCCUCCUAAAGAGUAACGGAGGAGCACGAAGGUUGGCUAAUCCUGGUCGGACAUCAGGAGGUUAGUGCAAUGGCAUAAGCCAGCUUGACUGCGAGCGUGACGGCGCGAGCAGGUGCGAAAGCAGGUCAUAGUGAUCCGGUGGUUCUGAAUGGAAGGGCCAUCGCUCAACGGAUAAAAGGUACUCCGGGGAUAACAGGCUGAUACCGCCCAAGAGUUCAUAUCGACGGCGGUGUUUGGCACCUCGAUGUCGGCUCAUCACAUCCUGGGGCUGAAGUAGGUCCCAAGGGUAUGGCUGUUCGCCAUUUAAAGUGGUACGCGAGCUGGGUUUAGAACGUCGUGAGACAGUUCGGUCCCUAUCUGCCGUGGGCGCUGGAGAACUGAGGGGGGCUGCUCCUAGU
rnacentral:rRNA from 1 species